AGCAUGAAAGGGGGCUAAAAAAGCAUGCAGAGAAACAGAUAGGCUACAGUCAGUAAUUGUAGAACUACAAAGUGCUUCUAUAUGAACCUGAGGAAGACAUCAAGCUUAGCUCUGUGCUAGCACCUGAGACAGGAAUACACUGGACAAGGCUUCAACCCAUGUCAGGUCUUUGUCUAUCCCCUUCUCAGACAUAGCCAAUCAUGUCUGUGUAGGCACCAGGUGGAGCUCUGGCCAACAUGGAAUGCUGGAUGCUCUACCCGUGGAGAAGAAAAGGAGAAAGGCAGAAGAACACAUGCAUGUGAUCAGAGCGUCCAGCUUCCACGCAUGCAUUUAUUCAUCGUUUCCUUUACAGCUCUUCCCUCCGUCUAUAGGCUGUCUGUGGUUAAAUCUGUGUCUGGGAGCAAUCGAGUCCAGUUUCAGUCCAACGCCACACCCACCCACAGCCACCCGACGCUGCCAAAUCACUGAUGUCAGUUCCCUUAGAGCAUUUUUUCUUUGUAUUGUUUUUCUCUUGGUAAAGUCCAUUAAGUUUUUUUUUAAAACACAUUAAACCCUUAU